GACGAACGCUGGCGGCGUGCUUAACACAUGCAAGUCGAGCGGUAAGGCCUUUCGGGGUACACGAGCGGCGAACGGGUGAGUAACACGUGGGUGAUCUGCCCUGCACUUCGGGAUAAGCCUGGGAAACUGGGUCUAAUACCGGAUAUGACCUCCUAUCGCAUGGUGGGUGGUGGCAAGAUUUAUCGGUGCAGGAUGGGCCCGCGGCCUAUCAGCUUGUUGGUGGGGUAAUGGCCUACCAAGGCGACGACGGGUAGCCGACCUGAGAGGGUAACCGGCCACACUGGGACUGAGACACGGCCCAGACUCCUACGGGAGGCAGCAGUGGGGAAUAUUGCACAAUGGGCGAAAGCCUGAUGCAGCGACGCCGCGUGAGGGAUGACGGCCUUCGGGCUGUAAACCUCUUUCAGCAGGGACGAAGCGAAAGUGACGGUACCUGCAGAAGAAGCACCGGCUAACUACGUG
rnacentral:rRNA from 1 species